AAAACGACUCUUGGCAACGGAUAUCUCGGCUCUCGCAUCGAUGAAGAACGUAGCGAAAUGCGAUACUUGGUGUGAAUUGCAGAAUCCCGUGAACCAUCGAGUCUUUGAACGCAAGUUGCGCCCCAAGCCGUUAGGCCGAGGGCACGCCUGCCUGGGUGUCACGC
rnacentral:rRNA from 1 species